AGAUGGCAAACAACAAAAACCCAAAUCUUAUUUCAAAAUUUAAACCCUAAUUGAGUAUUUUCAGCGCCGUUAAAAAAAUAAAAAAGAAGCUUUCAGGGUUUCUCAGAUGUCAUCGCCACUUUCUCCACCUUCUUCCUAUCUUCGGCAUGGCUAUCUCUGGAUGCGUUCUUUUAUCAUGUUAAUUGUAUGUUCUGCCUUCUAUAUAUAUGUAUAUUUUUUUUUCAUUUGCAUACAGAUUGUUUGUCAAAAAUUGUUUCACUCCUGGGUACCAAGGAAGAAACAUAUCAUGUUUAAUAUCAAAUUGAGAUUUGGGAUUCAAUCAUCAUCUCCAACGACGGUUCUGGUGGGUUUUACCCACUGCUGGAUGGUGUUGGUGGAACAAAUCAUUGGAGAUGAAGAUUGUGAUGUUGUGAUAACCGGAGAGGAUGAUGUGGGUGUUCUAUGGUGGUUAAGCAGCGGCCACAUCCACUCAUGGGGUUCUUUCUUGCCAAUAUUUUGGCUCAAGGACCGGCUACAAUGGGAAAAAGGUCAACUCAACACCAAAAUCGGUGGUUCCAUGAGGUUGUAAAGAUUCGUGGAAACAAUCCCAGACAUGGGCUUUUGGUAUUUUGUUUGAGGUUGAAGGGUUAAUUCAAGAUUAUAGCCAUCUUCAACAUCUGGGCUUCAACUGCAUUUUUGGGCAAAAAAUAUGUAACAUUGGUGAUGCAGUCAUCGGCUCCUAACCCAGGUUCUCCGUGGGUGUGAAAAGUGUACCAACUGCCAAAAGUCUAAUCUAGAGAAUACUGUGGGUGUGUUAACAAUGGCUGGUAAAAGGUUUUCCGUUUUCGUGGUUUGGUCACUCCCAUCUUGGCUUGCAUGCAUGGUUUAGAAGUAGGCGAUGAGAUGAACUUGGCAGCUGGGAUUUAGGUUGCCCAGUUGGCACAUAAGCAUCGCCAGAACAAAAAAACCCAACAACAAUGGAUAAUCGUGUUUGCAGGAGGGUUAGGGAAAUUGAGAGAGAAGCACAUGAAGAAGUCGGAACUCUGCCAGAGAAAGAUGCUAAACAAUAUGUUGCCCUUGACUUGAUUUCAAGGCUGAAGAACCAUCGGUUAUACGAUGAUGAUGAUAAUCCAAAAGAUUAUACAGCACCCAGGAUUGCAAGUAUAUAAGGAAAGUUCAAACCUUUAUACUUGACCCGUUAUCAAAUAAAUUCCAACCCAGUUUAACCAGUUUUCAUAUGAACGAUUUAAGAAUUAAGAUUGCCAGUUCGCCAUACCUUGUUAUUGGAGUCCAAUUGUUUCCUGCUUUAUACUUUCAUAGUAUGUGAUACAUGUUAAGAGAAAGAU